ACUCCUACGGGAGGCAGCAGUGGGGAAUAUUGCACAAUGGGGGAAACCCUGAUGCAGCCAUGCCGCGUGUGUGAAGAAGGCCUUGGGUUGUAAAGCACUUUCAGUAGGGAGGAAGGUAGUGUAGUUAACACCUGUACUAUUUGUACGUUACCUACAGAAGAAGCACCGGCUAACUCCGUGCCAGCAGCCGCGGUAAGUACGGAGGGUGCGAGCGUUAAUCGGAAUUACGUGGGCGUAAAGCGCAUGCAGGCGGCCUGUUAAGUCAGAUGUGAAAGCCCGGGGCUUAACCUCGGAAUUGCAUUUGAAACUGGCAGGCUAGAGUCUGUAGAGGGGUUAGAAUUUCAGGUGUAGCGGUGAAAUGCGUAGAGAUCUGAAGGAAUACCAGUGGCGAA
rnacentral:rRNA from 1 species